rnacentral:rRNA from 1 species
GACAGAGGGUGCGAACGUUGUUCGGAAUUACUGGGCGUAAAGCGCGUGUAGGCUGUUCGGAAAGUCGGGUGUGAAAGCCCCGGGCUCAACCUGGGAAUUGCAUUCGAGACUGCAUUGCUGGAGUACGGAAGAGGAAGGCGGAAUUCCCGGUGUAGCGGUGAAAUGCGUAGAUAUCGGGAGGGACAUCAGUGGCGAAGGCGGCCUUCUGGUCCAGUACUGACACUCAAGUGCGAAAGCGUGGGGAGCAAACAGG